CAAAAUGGAGCUUUAAGCGACUUAUUUACAUUAAGUAGUACUUUAGAAAUAGAGCAUUUUGA
rnacentral:tRNA from 1 species